GGGGAAUAUUGCGCAAUGGGCGAAAGCCUGACGCAGCGACGCCGCGUGAGGGAUGAAGGUUUUCGGAUCGUAAACCUCUGUCAGAAGGGAAGAAACCGCACCGUGCUAAUCAGCGGUGCCUUGACGGUACCUUCAACGGAAGCACCGGCGAACUCCGUGCCAGCAGCCGCGGUAAUACGGAGGGUGCAAGCGUUAAUCGGAAUUACUGGGCGUAAAGCGCACGUAGGCGGUUUUUUAAGUCAGAUGUGAAAGGUACCGGCUCAACCGGUGACAUGCAUCUGAAACUGAAAGACUUGAGUAUUGGAGAGGCAAGUGGAAUUCCUAGUGUAGCGGUGAAAUGCGUAGAUAUUAGGAGGAACACCGGUGGCGAAGGCGGCUUGCUGGACAAAUACUGACGCUGAGGUGCGAAACCGUGGGGAGCAAACA
rnacentral:rRNA from 1 species